rnacentral:rRNA from 1 species
GUGCCAGCAGCCGCGGUAACACGUAGGAGGCGAACGUUAUCCGGAUUUACUGGGCGUAAAGCGCGUGUAGGUGGUUUUGUAAGUAGGGCGUGAAAGCUCCCGGCUCAACUGGGAGAGGCCGUUCUAAACUGCAGAGCUAGAGGAUGGUAGAGGGAGGUGGAAUUCCAGGUGUAGCGGUGGAAUGCGCAGAUAUCUGGAGGAACACCGGUGGCGAAGGCGGCCUCCUGGACCAUUCCUGACACUCAGACGCGAAAGCUAGGGUAGCAAACGGGAUUAGAGACCCCGGUAGUCCUAGCCCUAAACGAUGUAGACUAGACGUUGGCGGUGUAAUAACUGUCGGUGUCCAAGCUAACGCGAUAAGUCUACCGCCUGGGGACUACGGCCGCAAGGUUAAAACUUAAAUGAAUUGACGG